rnacentral:rRNA from 1 species
UACGGAGGGGGCCAGCGUUGUUCGGAAUUAUUGGGCGUAAAGGGCGCGUAGGCGGCCGAACAAGUCUGACGUGAAAUCCCUCGGCCUAACCGAGGAACUGCGUUUGAAACUGUUUGGCUCGAGUCCGGGAGAGGGUAGUGGAAUUCCCAGUGUAGAGGUGAAAUUCGUAGAUAUUAGGAAGAACACCAGUGGCGAAGGCGGCUCACUGGUCCGGUACUGACGCUGAGGUGCGAAAGCGUGGGGAGCAAACAGG